rnacentral:rRNA from 1 species
UACGAAGGGGGCUAGCGUUGCUCGGAAUUACUGGGCGUAAAGCGCACGUAGGCGGCUUUCUAAGUCGGGGGUGAAAUCCUGGAGCUCAACUUCAGAACUGCCUUCGAUACUGGAGAGCUUGAGUCCGGGAGAGGUGAGUGGAACUGCGAGUGUAGAGGUGAAAUUCGUAGAUAUUCGCAAGAACACCAGUGGCGAAGGCGGCUCCCUGGCCCGGUACUGACGCUGAGGUGCGAAAGCGUGGGGAGCAAACAGG